GUCGAGCGACGCAUACCGGAGGGGUAACCCACUGGUAUGACGGAGCGGCGAACGGGUGAGUAACACGUGAGUAACCUGCCCCACAGACCGGGACAGCCCAGGGAAACCUGGAUUAAUACCGGAUAUCCUCGAAGGAUCGCAUGAUCUUCCGAGGAAAUGCCUUUGUGCUGUGGGAUGGGCUCGCGACUUAUCAGCUAGUUGGUGGGGUAACGGCCUACCAAGGCGUCGACGAGUAGCUGGUCUGAGAGGACGAUCAGCCACACUGGGACUGAGACACGGCCCAGACUCCUACGGGAGGCAGCAGCAGGGAAUCUUGCGCAAUGGGCGAAAGCCUGACGCAGCAACGCCGCGUGGGGGAUGAAGGCCUUCGGGUUGUAAACCCCUUUCAGGAGGGAAGAAAUUGACGGUACCUCCAAAAGAAGCACCGGCCAACUACGUGCCAGCAGCCGCGGUAAUACGUAGGGUGCGAGCGUUAUCCGGAAUCAUUGGGCGUAAAGAGCUCGUAGGCGGUUCAGUAAGUCGGCUGUGAAAUUUCGAGGCUCAACCUCGAAACUGCAGUCGAAACUGCUGUGACUCGAGUCCGGUAGAGGAGAAUGGAAUUCCCGGUGUAGCGG
rnacentral:rRNA from 1 species